rnacentral:lncRNA from 1 species
UGGGGAGUCAAGAGUCGCGGGAGGACGAGCAUCGGAGGAGAAGCGGAGAGAUGUCCACCCUGGGCUGGUGGCGCCGCUGGGCGCCCGGUUCAGUGUGGGUGCACUAGACUGCCGACCCUGGUCGGGGUGUGUGCGCAGAGUGCGGUGCUCCGGGGAGUGCUACCUUCUUGAUCUUCUAUCCUUCUUGGAGACAACUGGCAAGAGGAAGACUAACUAGGUCCUCCAACAGCUAGGUGGCUGGUCCAGGCAGACCAUCCCAGCAAGGGGAGAUCAUCUGAUCAUCCCUGAAACGCUCAAGCCCUUGGGUGUGAGCAAAACAGACAACUGUGAAAAACUCACCACUCUGUUGGAGAGUUACAAGAUGUACCAUCACGAAGGUGA